GGUGCCGUAGUUCAGUUUGGUUAGAAUGCCUGCCUGUCACGCAGGAGGUCGACGGUUCGAGCCCGUUCGGCACCG
rnacentral:tRNA from 3 species